UUCAACAUAUAAUAGUUUCCAAUGCAUAAGAAAUGAGGUUGAACUACUUCAUUCAACUAUGUGCUGCUAAAGUAUACCAAGGCACCAUGUUUUGCAUAUCUUUUGAGACAAAGUUUUGUUGGUAUGGCCUACAGAAUCAACAACAACAACAAGCCCAGUGAGUAAGUCUGAAAAGGUUAAUGUGUACUCAGACCUUACCCUCACAGUUGGAGAACAAAAAAGUUGUUUUUGAUCGGUAGAUCAUCGGCUAAAGACAAGAUAAAAAGUAGCAGUAACAACAAGGCUAAGUGAUAGAACAACAAAAUAUUAACAAUGUAUGGCCUACAGAAUACUCUUCAUAUUUUAAACCAAUAGUUACACUAGAAAAUAUAAGAAACGACAUCAAAAGAGGAAACUCAUUUAAGUGUUGGAAGAAAAAGAAAUGACAGGAUGAACAUAUAAAUACCCAGUACAGAUAAAAAGCAAUGAUCAAAAUUUAAAGAGCAAAAAAGCCGACACCUGAAAGGAACCAGUAAUGUUCUUAGCUUGGCUGUCUCAUUUGUCUGGAUUCUGAUGAAUGAAUCCUUAAUUCAUAUCUCACCUUCUUUUAUUUCUUCCAUUUCUUCUUUCCAAUUUCCAUUUUUGCUCUCACCAUUUCCAUGUUUAACUUUUUCACUAUUCCCUUUGUUUCCUUCAGUUAGGUUGACAGUAGC
rnacentral:lncRNA from 1 species